rnacentral:rRNA from 1 species
UGGGGAAUAUUGCACAAUGGGCGCAAGCCUGAUGCAGCCAUGCCGCGUGUAUGAAGAAGGCCUUCGGGUUGUAAAGUACUUUCAGCGAGGAGGAAGGCGUUGUGGUUAAUAACCGCAACGAUUGACGUUACUCGCAGAAGAAGCACCGGCUAACUCCGUGCCAGCAGCCGCGGUAAUACGGAGGGGACAAGCGUUAAUCGGAAUUACUGGGCGUAAAGCGCACGCAGGCGGUCUGUCAAGUCGGAUGUGAAAUCCCCGGGCUCAACCUGGGAACUGCAUCCGAAACUGGCAGGCUAGAGUCUUGUAGAGGGGGGUAGAAUUCCAGGUGUAGCGGUGAAAUGCGUAGAGAUCUGGAGGAAUACCGGUGGCGAAGGCGGCCCCCUGGACAAAGACUGACGCUCAGGUGCGAAAGCGUGGGGAGCAAACA